rnacentral:rRNA from 1 species
UACGGGGGGAGCAAGCGUUGUUCGGAUUUACUGGGCGUAAAGGGCGCGUAGGCGGUCAGCACAAGUCAGUUGUGAAAUCUCCGGGCUUAACUCGGAAAGGUCAACUGAUACUGUGCGACUAGAGUGCGGAAGGGGCAACUGGAAUUCUUGGUGUAGCGGUGAAAUGCGCAGAUAUCAGGAAGAACACCCGUGGCGAAGGCGGCUCUCUGGGACGGUACUGACGCUGAGACGCGAAAAGCGUGGGGAGCGAACAGG